GUUGUACUCCCUCCGUCCGGAAAUACUUGUCAUCAAAAUGGAUAAAAGGGGAUGUAUCUAGAUGUAUUUUAGUUCUAGAUACAUCUCUUUUUAUCCAUUUUGAUGACAAGUAUUUUCGGACGGAGGGAGUACAAA
rnacentral:pre_miRNA from 1 species